rnacentral:rRNA from 1 species
CCCAGACUCCUACGGGAGGCAGCAGUGGGGAAUAUUGCACAAUGGGGGAAAUCCUGAUGCAGCGACGCCGCGUGAGCGAUGAAGUAUUUCGGUAUGUAAAGCUCUAUCAGCAGGGAAGAAGAUGAUGGUACCUGACUAAGAAGCCCCGGCUAACUACGUGCCAGCAGCCGCGGUAAUACAUAGGGGGCAAGCGUUAUCCGGAUUUACUGGGUGUAAAGGGAGCGUAGACGGUCCUGCAAGCCAGAUGUGAAAGCCCGGGGCUCAACCCCGGGACUGCAUUUGGAACUGUAAGGCUAGAGUGUCGGAGAGGCGGGCGGAAUUCCUAGUGUAGCGGUGAAAUGCGUAGAUAUUAGGAGGAACACCAGUGGCGAAGGCGGCCUGCUGGACGAUGACUGGCGUUGAGGCUCGAAAGCGUGGGGAGCAAACAGGAUUAGAUACCCUGGUAA